GGGCCCGUAGCUUAGCUAGGUAAAGCGCCGGGUUGCGGACCCGGAGAUCGCGGGUUCGAAUCCCGCCGGGCCCG
rnacentral:tRNA from 1 species